AUUGAACGCUGGCGGCAUGCCUUACACAUGCAAGUCGAACGGUAACGCGGGGCAACCUGGCGACGAGUGGCGAACGGGUGAGUAAUGCAUCGGAACGUGCCCAGUAGUGGGGGAUAGCCCGGCGAAAGCCGGAUUAAUACCGCAUACGACCUACGGGUGAAAGCGGGGGACCGCAAGGCCUCGCGCUAUUGGAGCGGCCGAUGUCAGAUUAGCUAGUUGGUGGGGUAAAGGCCUACCAAGGCGACGAUCUGUAGCUGGUCUGAGAGGACGACCAGCCACACUGGGACUGAGACACGGCCCAGACUCCUACGGGAGGCAGCAGUGGGGAAUAUUGGACAAUGGGGGGAACCCUGAUCCAGCCAUGCCGCGUGUGUGAAGAAGGCCUUAUGGUUGUAAACUGCUUUUGUACGGAACGAAAAGCCCUGGGUUAAUACCCUGGGGUCAUGACGGUACCGUAAGAAUAAGCACCGGCUAACUACGUGCCAGCCGCCGCGGUAA
rnacentral:rRNA from 1 species